CAGGACGAGGCUAAGACAGAAAAGCGUCUCCCUUACGCCGAGAAGUCGCCUGUGCAAAUCAGGUCGCCCUGA
rnacentral:tRNA from 1 species